UGAGGAAUGAGUUUAAGCUCAAAAAUCCUGCAAAUAUACAUACACAAAAUUAAAAAGUCAUAAGCAAGGGGGGAAAGACUUGAAAAUAACCUUUUCUGUCUUCCCUUUUUUUUUAUGCAUUUUGUGUAAUUAAUAAAAUACAGGAAGGAAGGUCUGAGAUGCUGCAAAAAAAGAAUUAAUUAUUUUUUUAUACUUAUUUCUUUAUUAAUAUUUUUGAGAAAAAUAAUAUUGAACAAAUAUUAAUUAGCUACCAGAAAUGCCAAUCAUGUAUAUAUAUAUUUAUGUAUAUGAUUUUGAAAAAGCUAAUAAGCAAGUAUACAUUGGUGAGUUCGAUUUUUGAGGUUUUUCAACUCCUUCAAUUUUUUUUGAAGUCGUAGAAAAAUAACUUAAUUCAGACUACUCCUAAAUUCAUUCCAAAAUAUGA
rnacentral:RNase_P_RNA from 1 species